UACGGGGGGAGCAAGCGUUGUUCGGAUUUACUGGGCGUAAAGGGCGCGUAGGCGGCCACCGCAAGUCGGUUGUGAAAUCUCCGGGCUUAACCCGGAAAGGUCAAUCGAUACUGCGGGGCUAGAGUGCAGAAGGGGCAACUGGAAUUCCUGGUGUAGCGGUGAAAUGCGCAGAUAUCAGGAGGAACACCGGUGGCGAAGGCGGGUCUCUGGGCCGAUACUGACGCUGAGGAGCGAAAGCGUGGGGAGCAAACAGG
rnacentral:rRNA from 1 species